UGUCUUAAUUAAAAAAGCCCC
rnacentral:piRNA from 1 species